GAUGAAGAACGUAGCGAAAUGCGAUAAGUAAUGUGAAUUGCAGAAUUCAGUGAAUCAUCGAAUCUUUGAACGCAUCUUGCGCUCCUUGGUAUUCUGAGGAGCAUGCCUGUUUGAGUGUCAUUAAAUUCUCAACUACACUGACUUUGAAUUGGUGUGGCUUGGAUUUGGGGGGAAAAUUGUUGUGGGCUUUUUGUAUAGUCUACUCCCCUGAAAUUGAUUAGCGGUACCUUUGUGGAACUGUCUACAGGUGUGAUAAUUAUCUACAUCUUAGACAUCUGCUGGAAUGCUGCUUUCUAAACCUUACUUGUAUUGACAAUCUUGACCUCAAAUCAGGUAGGACUACCCGCUGAACUUAAGCAUAUCAAUAAGCGGAGGA
rnacentral:misc_RNA from 1 species